CCUACGGGUGGCAGCAGUCGAGAAUCAUUCACAAUGGGGGAAACCCUGAUGGUGCGACGCCGCGUGGGGGAAUGAAGGUCUUCGGAUUGUAAACCCCUGUCAUGUGGGAGCAAAUUAAAAAGAUAGUACCACAAGCGGCAGAGACGGCUAACUCUGUGCCAGCAGCCGCGGUAAUACGGCGGUCUCAAUCGGUGUUCGGAAUCACUGAGCGUAAAGCGUGCGUAGGCUGUUUCGUAAGUCGUGUGUGAACGGCGCGGGCUCAACCCGCGGACGGCACAUGAUACUGUGGGACUAGAGUAGUGGAGGGGUAACCGGAAUUCUCGGUGUAGCAGUGAAAUGCGUAGAUA
rnacentral:rRNA from 1 species